rnacentral:rRNA from 1 species
GAUGAACGCUGGCGGCGUGCCUAAUACAUGCAAGUCGAGCGAACGGACGAGAAGCUUGCUUCUCUGAUGUUAGCGGCGGACGGGUGAGUAACACGUGGAUAACCUACCUAUAAGACUGGGAUAACUUCGGGAAACCGUAGCUAAUACCGGAUAAUAUUUUGAACCGCAUGGUUCAAAAGUGAAAGACGGUCUUGCUGUCACUUAUAGAUGGAUCCGCGCUGCAUUAGCUAGUUGGUAAGGUAACGGCUUACCAAGGCAAAGAUGCAUAGCCGACCUGAGAGGGUGAUCGGCCACACUGGAACUGAGACACGGUCCAGACUCCUACGGGAGGCAGCAGUAGGGAAUCUUCCGCAAUGGGCGAAAGCCUGACGGAGCAACGCCGCGUGAGUGAUGAAGGUCUUCGGAUCGUAAAACUCUGUUAUUAGGGAAGAACAUAUGUGUAAGUAACUGUGCACAUCUUGACGGUACCUAAUCAGAAAGCCACGGCUAACUACGUG